rnacentral:rRNA from 1 species
AAGAUUACCCGCUGAAUUUAAGCAUAUUAAUAAGCGGAGGAAAAGAAACUAACAAGGAUUCCCCUAGUAACGGCGAGUGAAGCGGGAACAGCUCAAGCUUGAAAUCUGCACCCUUGUAAAAAGGGUGCCGAGUUGUAGCUUUUGGAGGCACUAUUGAGCGGCUAAUCUUGGUAAAAGUCCUUUUGAAUAAGGCAUCAGAGAGGGUGAAAAUCCCGUAUUUGACCAGGAGUAUAAAUUAGUUGCGAUAUCAAGUGUUUUCUUUGAGUCGGGUUGUUUGGGAAUGCAGCCCUAAUUAGGAGGUAAAUUUCUUCUAAAGCUAAAUAUCAGCAAGAGACCGAUAGCAUACAAGUACCGUGAGGGAAAGAUGAAAAGCACUUUGAAAAGAGAGUGAAAAGUACGUGAAAUUGUUGGAAGGGAACCGGUUGAUGACCAAGCUUUUUUGGCUUCCUUUCGGGGGAGUUGGAGGGUCAACAUCGGUUGUUUUAUGGCUAGAAGGGAUUUUGCGGGCUGACGGGGGAAAGGUAGUAAGCGUUCUGGGUAUUUUAUACCUAGGGCGUUUAUGUUAUAGACUCCCACAGGCUCGCUUCAAAAGCUCUAUAGUUGUAACGACCGAGGAAUGCAGUGUGUUUUUAUCCUUCGGGAUUUAGGGCAGCUUGUAGGGAUGCAUUUUGUGGUGUUUUUAUCGGGGGCUAGACAGCUUUGCUGACUAGUUCUGAUGCGCCAUAUGUACGCCUUGCAAGGUGACCAAGAAGCACUUUGGAUGUUGGCGAAAAGGCAUCAAUCGACCCGUCUUGAAACACGGACCAAGGAGUCCAACAUGCAUGCGAGUAUUUGGGAAAAGAUAAACCCAUGUGCGUAAUGAAAGUGAAUUUUAUUUAGAAUGUGACCUGCUUUAUUGUGGGGCAACAUCAACCGACUUUAGAUAGCGCUGCUUGAAAAGGUUGAGUAAGAGCAUGUAUGCUGGGACCCGAAAGAUGGUGAACUAUGCCUGAAUAGGGUGAAGUCAGAGGAAACUCUGAUGGAAGCUCGUAGAGAUUCUGACGUGCAAAUCGAUCUCAAAAUUUGGGUAUAGGGGCGAAAGACUAAUCGAACCUCCUAGAAGCUGGUUCCCGG